ACGGAAGGCAGCAGUAGGGAAUAUUGCGCAAUGGGGGAAACCCUGAUGCAGCAACGCCACGUGUGGGAAGAAGCAUUUCGGUGUGUAAACCACUGUCGUGAGGGAAUAAUGCUUGGUUUCGGCCAAGUUGAAUGUACCUCGAAAGGAAGCACCGGCAAACUUCGUGCCAGCAGCCGCGGUAAUACGAGGGGUGCAAGCGUUGUUCGGAAUCACUGGGCGUAAAGGGAGCGCAGGCGGAGAUGCAAGCAGUCUGUACAAUACCGGGGCCCAACCCCGGACCUGCAGACUGGACUGUUUCUCUUGGAUAGUUCAGGGGCAAGCGGAAUUCCUGGUGUAGCGGUGGAAUGCGUAGAGAUCAGGAAGAACACCGAUGGCGAAGGCAGCUUGCUGGGGACUUAUCGACGCUCAUGCUCGAAAGUGCGAGUAGCAAACAGGAUUAGAUACCCUGGUA
rnacentral:rRNA from 1 species